rnacentral:rRNA from 1 species
UACGAAGGGGGCUAGCGUUGCUCGGAGUCACUGGGCGUAAAGCGCACGUAGGCGGCUUUUUAAGUCAGGGGUGAAAUCCUGGAGCUCAACUCCAGAACUGCCUUUGAUACUGAGAAGCUUGAGUCCGGGAGAGGUGAGUGGAACUGCGAGUGUAGAGGUGAAAUUCGUAGAUAUUCGCAAGAACACCAGUGGCGAAGGCGGCUCACUGGCCCGGUACUGACGCUGAGGCACGAAAGCGUGGGGAGCAAACAGG